CGAAAAUCCGGUUCUUAUACGAUCACCGAAGUUAAACAACGUCGAGCCUCUUAAGUACCUAGAUGGGUAACUGCUUGGGAAUACCAGACGCUGUAAG